rnacentral:rRNA from 1 species
CCUACGGUGGGCAGCAGUGGGGAAUAUUGGACAAUGGGGGCAACCCUGAUCCAGCCAUGCCGCGUGUGUGAAGAAGGCCCUCGGGUUGUAAAGCACUUUCAGUGAGGAAGAACGCCUGGUGGUUAAUACCCAUCAGGAAAGACAUCACUCACAGAAGAAGCACCGGCUAACUCCGUGCCAGCAGCCGCGGUAAUACGGAGGGUGCGAGAGUUAAUCGGAAUUACUGGGCGUAAAGCGCGCGUAGGUGGCUUGAUAAGCCGGUUGUGAAAGCCCCGGGCUCAACCUGGGAACGGCAUCCGGAACUGUCAAUCUAGAGUGCAGGAGAGGAAGGUAGAAUUCCCGGUGUAGCGGUGAAAUACGUAGAGAUCGGGAGGAAUACCAGUGGCGAAGGCGGCCUUCUGGACUGACACUGACACUGAGGUGCGAAAGCGUGGGUAGCAAACAGGAUUAGAUACCCUGGUAGUC